rnacentral:rRNA from 1 species
GAUGAACGCUGGCGGCGUGCCUAAUACAUGCAAGUCGAGCGAACAGACGAGGAGCUUGCUCCUCUGACGUUAGCGGCGGACGGGUGAGUAACACGUGGAUAACCUACCUAUAAGACUGGGAUAACUUCGGGAAACCGGAGCUAAUACCGGAUAAUAUAUUGAACCGCAUGGUUCAAUAGUGAAAGACGGUUUUGCUGUCACUUAUAGAUGGAUCUGCGCCGCAUUAGCUAGUUGGUAAGGUAACGGCUUACCAAGGCGACGAUGCGUAGCCGACCUGUGAGGGUGAUCGGCCACACUGGAACUGAGACACGGUCCAGACUCCUACGGGAGGCAGCAGUAGCGAAUCUUCCGCAAUGGGCGAAAGCAUGACGGAGCAGCGCCGCGUGAGUGAUGAAGGUCUUCGGAUCGUAAAACUCUGUUAUUAGUGAAGAACAAAUGUGGAAGUAACUAUGCACGUCGUGACGGUACCUAAUCAGAAAGCCACGGCUAACUACGUG